ACCAAAAAGCCGCCGUGGAAACUUUACGCCUUCUAUAUAUGGAGACGUUCGUGUGGUCUUAAACCCCAACGUCAAACCGUUGGUCGUAAAACCCGGCAUAACCUAAUCCUAAGGUCGAAGUGUUGCUCUUCGCACCCCACACCUCGACGCGUACAGUGGUCAGAGCUUCACUACUCCCUCGACCUCCACAGCAUACCGCACACUAGCUUUCAAGCUCUGUGCGAUCCUAGCCGCUCUGCUGCCACUCACGGCAAUGGAACAGUACAGCAAAUUCCUAGCGGCAUCCAAGGAGCUGACGUUGACCCAGAUGGCUACGCUGAAGCAGCGGGAAAUCUUAAGGCUCAAGGCAAGACAUAA
rnacentral:lncRNA from 1 species